CUUGCGUCAUGAAGUGCAAGGCGGUUUUAUGUUUACAUUAUAAUUGCAGUGUUGCAACAUUGUAACUGAAGUGUUGUAUAUGAAAAAUUAUGAGAAAAUUUUUUUAUCAACAUUUCGGUGUUUGAAAAAUAUGAUUAGAGCAGUUUUAAUAUUUAACAUUCAUGGAAUGGCGAGACUUACAAAAUUUUAUAGUCAUUAUCCAGAGUUGAAACAGCAGCAGAUUUUAAAACAAGUAUUUCAAAUUGUUUCAAAGAGAGGAGAUGAAGUGUGCAAUUUUAUAGAAGGAGGAGAUAUUUUAGGUGAUAAAAAUCUGAAAAUAAUUUAUCGACAUUAUGCAACUCUAUAUAUUGUAUUUUGUGUUGACCCUUCUGAGAGUGAACUUGCAAUAUUAGAUCUGAUACAAGUUUUCGUUGAAACGUUGGAUAAGUGCUUUAGAAAUGUCUGUGAAUUAGAUCUAGUUUUCCAUGUUGAAAAGCUAUUACACAGAGUGAUUAAAAAGAAUUUCAAACAAAUAUAUUUUGAAAAAUAGAAGUAAUGCAACUCUGAAAGUUUUGACCCUUACAACCAGAGCCAUGCCUCGAUAUUUUUUCACCUGAAAUGCAUGCCUCUAUAUACAAUCAAAUUACCUUUAGCUAUGUACUUUUAUAUUCAGCAGAGGUACAUUAUGUAUUAAAUGAAAUUAUCACAGGUGGAUUGGUUGCAGAGGAUAAAAUGCCAAAUAUAUUGCAGGCUAUUGAGGAUCAGAAGAAAUUAGAAAAAAAUGAG
rnacentral:misc_RNA from 1 species